rnacentral:rRNA from 1 species
AUUGAACGCUGGCGGCAGGCCUAACACAUGCAAGUCGAACGGUAACAGGAAGCAGCUUGCUGUUUCGCUGACGAGUGGCGGACGGGUGAGUAAUGUCUGGGUAAGCUGCCUGAUGGAGGGGGAUAGCUACUGGAAACGGUAGCUAAUACCGCAUAAUGUCGCAAGACCAAAGAGGGGGACCUUCGGGCCUCUUGCCAUCGGAUGUGCCCAGAUGGGAUUAGCUUGUUGGUGGGGUAACGGCUCACCAAGGCGACGAUCCCUAGCUGGUCUGAGAGGAUGACCAGCCACACUGGAACUGAGACACGGUCCAGACUCCUACGGGAGGCAGCAGUGGGGAAUAUUGCACAAUGGGCGCAAGCCUGAUGCAGCCAUGCCGCGUGUAUGAAGAAGGCCUUCGGGUUGUAAAGUACUUUCGGCGGGGAGGAAGGGAGUAAAGUUAAUACCUUUGCUCAUUGACGUUACCCGCAGAAGAAGCACCGGCUAACUCCGUGCCAGCAGCCGCGGUAAUACGGAGGGUGCAAGCGUUAAUCGGAAUUACUGGGCG